rnacentral:rRNA from 1 species
UGGGGAAUAUUGGACAAUGGGGGCAACCCUGAUCCAGCAAUACCGCGUGAGUGAAGAAGGCCUUCGGGUUGUAAAGCUCUUUUACCGGGGAAGAUAAUGACGGUACCCGGGGAAUAAGCUCCGGCUAACUUCGUGCCAGCAGCCGCGGUAAUACGAAGGGAGCUAGCGUUGUUCGGAAUUACUGGGCGUAAGGGCGCGUAGGCGGUUUUGUAAGUCAGAUGUGAAAGCCCCGGGCUUAACCUGGGAACUGCAUUUGAGACUGCAAGACUAGAGAUCGAGAGAGGAAAGUGGAAUUACGAGUGUAGAAGUGAAAUUCGUAGAUAUUCGUAGGAACACCGGCGGCGAAGGCGACUUUCUGGCUCGACCCUGACGCUAAAGCGCGAAAGCGUGGGGAGCAAACA